GCGCAGCAGUCGCGAAACCUUCGCAAUGCGGGAAACCGCGACGAGGGGACUCCCAGUGCCUACGCUCAGCGUAGGCUGUUCCCGAGCCUAGAAAGCUCGGGGAGUAAGGGCUGGGUAAGACGGGUGCCAGCCGCCGCGGUAAUACCCGCAGCCCGAGUGGUGGCCACUAUUAUUGGGCCUAAAGCGUCCGUAGCCGGCCCGGUAAAUGCCUGGGUAAAUCGUGAGGCCUAACCUCACGAAUUCCGGGUAGACUGCCGGGCUAGGGGACCGGAGGAGGGAGAGGGUACUCCAGGGGUAGGGGUGAAAAUCCUGUAAUCCCUGGAGGACCACCGGUGGCGAAGGCGCUCUCCUAGGACGGGUCCGACGGUGAGGGACGAAAGCCAGGGGAGCGAACCGGAUUAGAUACCCCGGUA
rnacentral:rRNA from 1 species